rnacentral:misc_RNA from 1 species
GAUGAAGAACGCAGCGAAAUGCGAUAAGUAAUGUGAAUUGCAGAAUUCAGUGAAUCAUCGAAUCUUUGAACGCACAUUGCACCCCCUGGUAUUCCGGGGGGCAUGCCUGUCCGAGCGUCAUUACAACCCUCAAGCUCAGCUUGGUGUUGGGCCCCGCCGCCCCGGCGGGCCCUAAAGUCAGUGGCGGUGCCGUCCGGCUCCGAGCGUAGUAAUUCUUCUCGCUCUGGAGGUCCGGUCGUGUGCUCGCCAGCAACCCCCAAUUUUUUUCAGGUUGACCUCGGAUCAGGUAGGGAUACCCGCUGAACUUAAGCAUAUCAAUAAGCGGAGGA